AUUUUGUGAAUUAAAAAAUGUUGCAGAUUCUUUUUUUUUCCCUCAGAAAUAAAUGUGGGGAUGUAUGUAGUUGCAGCUUCACAGGCUGCCAUCGUGGCAUUGUAAAGACCAUUUUUAACUCUUCCAAGUAGUGGAAAUGUAAGAUGUGAGCAAUAGCAACACAAGGAAUAUGCUCCUCAAAACUCACAUGGAGUAAAUCCAGGAGAGCUGCAGCUCCAAACACUUGAGGAAAUUGGAUACCUCAUUAUUCCAGGGAGCUUGUGGAAGUGUUUGUGUCUGUUUGUGUGCACAGUGAACAAUGCCAUGGACUAUUCACUGGAGUGAUAAAUUGUGCUUACUCCCAUGUCAGAACAGGUAAGAGAACUGAUGUUCUUCCUAAGAUGGCAACUAAUGUCUUUUGCAAGGGAAUGUAAUUUCCUUAAUGACUAUCUGAAUUCUGGAAAAGAAGGAUUUCUGUAAAGAACUGGGAGAAAGAGUUUCAGCCCUUUUUAACCUGGAGGCCUUCAGCCCAGUCCACCAUGGAUCACCUCAAGAGAUAUUAGUUAUUUUUUGUGAGGAAAAAGAGGGAAAGAGUGAAAACAAUGAGUUCCGAUUAGAUGCUAGGAUAAACAAAGAGUGAAGCCAAAACAAAACAAGAAAACCUUUUAUCAUCUGUCUUUGAGCAUGAGCUCUGAGCUGGACUGCUUUCAGAGUUUUUUGUAUUAUUCUGUCUGAUGCAAAGAUUUUCUACAUGGCUCCAUUCCAAUCUCCAGUGCAUGUCUGACAAACUGAUUUGAAGAUCUACAUUUGGUGAUAAAAGUCACAAAGCAAAAAGCAAAUAGUGAGAGAUCAGUAGUGAAGUGUGGAAAGCUGCAUUUUUUUGAGGAAGAAACCACAUUUUUCUCUGUUCUGUGAGACAGCAGCCAAUUGUGCUCAGCAGAGUGUUGAAGCCCAGGAGAAGAGGCAAGCACAGCUCCUUUCUUCAUCACCACAAAAAAUAUUUCUUUUUCAAAUCCAUAUCCUGGUCUAAAUCCAGAUUGUUACCUAAAUCCAGAAGGUUACCAGCUAGAAGUAUUUGUCCAUAUUUUCUGCAGGUUUCCUUCAGGAAAGAGAUUUUGGAUGUGGAGGCAGUGUUUGGCUGGGACUGCUGCAUCCAGGCCAGGCUUUCAGAUCCAGCCAGAGCAGCUGUAUUUAGAAGAUGAAAGGAAGAAACCUUCUGCCAAUGCAGAUCUGGCACUUACCAUUUGUCAUUUUUUACAAGCAAGAGAGAAUUUCACAAGCCUAAUAGUGGGACUCCAUUAAAAUAACUGAAACUUCUUGCUGAGUGAAUGUACCAAAUUUUUGAAUGCAGGGAUUUGUCUUGACCUACUGAAUUUAUUUAUUUUAUUGACCAUUUUUUCUCUUCUCUUUUAUUUUGAAAUUUCUGUUUUGGGAAUAUUUAGCUUCUGCUUUUAAAAACAAUAUAAUUUUAAUGACAUUUAUUUCAGCAGUUGUAUUUAUUUCUGUUUGAAGAUAUUUGUUUUUAUUAAAAAAUGAACUUUUGGUAUAUGCUGCAUACUUUAAGGGAAAAAAGGUAUACAUAUAAAGUUCCUUGGAAAAUUAUUGAUUGUUCAGAAAAAUAAUUGAUCUUUUAGCAUUUUGGAGAAGUUUCAUGGUGUUGGUUUCCAGGUUUAUAUUUUUUAAGAGCUUUAAAGGAAUUGUCUUUCUAAACCUCAGCUAAUUCCUGUUCACUUUAGAGGUUGCUAG